rnacentral:misc_RNA from 1 species
UAAUAAGUGUUUUAUGGCACUUUUUAAAUCCAUAUCCACCUUGUGUGCAAUGUCAGUCGAUCUUCUUCAUGGAGAUCGACCAAACAUCAACCUUUAUCUUUUAACUCUUUGUCUGAAAAUAUUAUGAAUAAACAAUUCAAAAUAC